AGCAGCCGCGGUAAUUCCAGCUCCAAUAGCGUAUAUUAAAGUUGUUGCAGUUAAAAAGCUCGUAGUUGAAUUUCGGGAUUAAUUUACUGGUCGUGCUAUUGUACGUACUGGUUUUAUUGGUUCCUCCCUUCUGACGAACUAUGAUGUCAUUAAUUUGGUGUCAUAGGAAAUCAGGACUGUUACUUUGAAAAAAUUAGAGUGUUUAAAGCAGGCUCACGCUUGAAUACAUUAGCAUGGAAUAACGGAAUAGGACGUUUGAUUCUAUUUUGUUGGUUUCUAGGAUCGACGUAAUGAUUAAUAGGGAUAGUUGGGGGCAUUAGUAUUCAAUUGUCAGAGGUGAAAUUCUUGGAUUUAUUGAAGACUAACUACUGCGAAAGCAUUUGCCAAGGAUGUUUUCAUUAAUCAAGAACGAAAGUUAGGGGAUCGAAGACGAUCAGAUACCGUCGUAGUCUUAACCAUAAACUAUACCGACUAGGGAUCGGAUGAUGUUAAUUUUUAAUGACUCAUUCGGCGCCUUACG
rnacentral:sRNA from 1 species